rnacentral:rRNA from 1 species
UGGGGAAUAUUGGACAAUGGGCGAAAGCCUGAUCCAGCCAUGCCGCGUGUGUGAAGAAGGUCUUCGGAUUGUAAAGCACUUUAAGUUGGGAGGAAGGGCAGUAAGCGAAUACCUUGCUGUUUUGACGUUACCGACAGAAUAAGCACCGGCUAACUCUGUGCCAGCAGCCGCGGUAAUACAGAGGGUGCAAGCGUUAAUCGGAAUUACUGGGCGUAAAGCGCGCGUAGGUGGUUCGUUAAGUUGAAUGUGAAAGCCCCGGGCUCAACCUGGGAACUGCAUCCAAAACUGGCGAGCUAGAGUAGGGCAGAGGGUGGUGGAAUUUCCUGUGUAGCGGAGAAAUGCGUAGAUAUAGGAAGGAACACCAGUGGCGAAGGCGACCACCUGGGCUCAUACUGACACUGAGGUGCGAAAGCGUGGGGGGCAAACAGG